GACGGAGGAUGCAAGUGUUAUCCGGAAUCACUGGGCGUAAAGCGUCUGUAGGUUGUUUAAAAAGUCUGCAGUUAAAGGUUGAAGCUUAACUUCAAAAAAUGCCGUAGAAACUUUUAAACUAGAGGAUGGUAGGGGUAGAGGGAAUUUCCAGUGGGAGCGGUGAAAUGUGUAGAUAUUGGAAAGACCACCGAUGGCGAAGGCACUCUACUGGGCCAUGGACUGACACUGGAGAGACGAAAGCUAGGGGAGCAAAUGGG
rnacentral:rRNA from 1 species